UUCAUUGGAGACAAUCUCAUAAAUGAUUUUACAAAGACUCAAUGUAUUCCUGAAAACCCUCAACUUGAUGCUCCUCGUUUGACGUCGUGCCUGAUGAGGAACGCCAGGCGUUCGAAAUUGUCAAUAGCACCGAAUUUACAUUAAUAAAUUUAAUUAUUCAUCGUU